AUUGAACGCUGGCGGCAGGCCUAACACAUGCAAGUCGAACGAGUGGCGGAAGGGUGAGGAAUGUCUGGGAAACUGCCCGAUGGAGGGGGAUAACUACUGGAAACGGUAGCUAAUACCGCAUACCAUCGGAUGUGCCCAGAUGGGAUUAGCUAGUAGGUGGGGUAACGGCUCACCUAGGCGACGAACCCUAGGUGGCCUGAGAGGCUGACCAGCCAAACUGUAACAUCGACACGGUCCAUACUCCUACGGGAGGCAGCAGUGGGGAAUAUGGCACAAUGGCGGCAAGCCUGAUGCAGCCAUGCCGCGUGUAUGAAGAAGGCCUUCGGGUUGUAAAGUACUUUCAGCUAGGAGGCGUUACUCGCAGAAGAAGCACCGGCUAACUCCGUGCCAGCAGCCGCGGUAAUUC
rnacentral:rRNA from 1 species